rnacentral:SRP_RNA from 1 species
GCCGGGCAUGGUGGUGCAUGCCUGUGGUCCCAGCUACUUGGGGGGCUGAGGUGGGAGGAUUGUUUGAGCCCGGGAGGGAGGUCGAGGCUGCAGUGAGCCACGCUUGUGCCACUGCAGUCCUGCCUGGGUGACAAAGCGAGACCCUGUCUCAA